ACAUGUCAGAGUUGAUUUCAACUCUCAAAAUGUCAUUUUAACACAUUCUGAUUAAAAUGGUGUUCAGUGUUGGAGUUAUUUAACAGAGUUAUUCAAACCCAAGCAAAUCAACUCUGUAGAGAUGUGAAGUGCGUCUCAGCCGAGUUAACUUAAGUUAUCUUGUCAACGAUAUUUGAAUUUCGAAUUUUACCGGUCGCCAUUGCCAGAAGAACGGCUAUCAGUAGGCUACCAACGUCCAGAAGAGAGGACACCGGAUGGCUUAUGAAAGCAUUGUUUCGGACACAAGUAAAAGGAGAAGAAUGCUGCUCAGCUGGGUCGGUGAAGCUCUUGGAUAUCAUCAGCAUCUAUGAAGGCACCGGUAGGCACAGAGUCAUUCCGGUAGGCACGGAGUCAUUCCUCGAUAGACGUGAUGACCUGGCACCAAAACCGCUUAAUGUGUAUGAAGCUGUCUGCAUCGAGGGAAGAACCCAGUACUGAAAUGACACAAGUAAAAGGAGAAGAAUGCUGCUCAGCUGGGUCGGCGGUCACACUACUUAUUCAAGAAGCUCUUGGAUAUCAUUGGCAUGUAUGCAGCACAGAGUCAUUCCGGUAGGCACGGAGUCGUUCCACGAUGGACGUGAUGACCUGGCACCAAAACCGCUUAAUGUGUAUGAAGCUGUCUGCAUCGAGGGAAGAACCCAGCACUGAAGUGACACAAAUGAAAGAAGAGGACUUCUGCUCUGCUGGGUCUGCGACACUACUUAUCUGAGGAGUCCUCAAACAUCAGGAUGUAGGAAACUUGUGGUGAGAUGCCAAGAGCCGCCAUGAGGGAUAUGCAACCUGCUGCUUCACCGUGCUUUUGGGAGAUCAUCUACUACGUGAACCUUGAGUAUCUACAAGCCAGCUACUACAAGGUCCUGUACAAACUGUCAGUCUUAAUGUUGCGACAUCCCUGUCAGUUCUUUUGGACUGAAUACAUGCUGUGUUUGAAAUGUAUU